AGCGAACGCUGGCGGCAUGCCUAACACAUGCAAGUCGCGCGGGUCGGGGCUUCGGCCCCGGCCAGCGGCGGACGGGUGAGGAGCGCGUAGGAACCUGUCCCGCGGCGGGGGACAACCCUGGGAAACCGGGGCUAAUACCGCAUGCGGCCCGAGGGCGAAAGCCGGCGGAGCGAUCCGCCGGCGCCGUGGGAGGGGCCUGCGUCCGAUUAGCUUGCCGGUGGGGUAACGGCCCACCGGGGCGGCGAUCGGUAGCCGGUCUGAGAGGAUGGCCGGCCACACUGGGACUGAGACACGGCCCAGACUCCUACGGGAGGCAGCAGUGGGGAAUAUUGGGCAAUGGGCGCAAGCCUGACCCAGCAAUGCCGCGUGGGUGAAGAAGGUCCUCGGAUUGUAAAGCCCUUUCGGCGGGGACGAUGGUGACGGUACCCGCAGAAGAAGCCCCGGCCAACUUCGUGCCAGCAGCCGCAGUAAGAC
rnacentral:rRNA from 1 species